CUGACAUAACUUUUUUCUUUUACUCUUGGCAGGAAGGGACUUAGAUUGCCUCCCCUUGACAGGCCCAAUAUCCAUCUCAAGGACAGUAGCGCCACUGUAACUUUAAUCCAGAAGUUCAUUGCACAGAAGCUAAAUUUGAAUGAUCAUACUGAGGUGGAUGUUGUUUGCUGCGGUGAAAAGCUGAAUGGAGAUAUGACGGUCAAGGACAUUCAACUUAGAUGGAAGUCACACCUUCCCAAUUCUGGAAAGGGAAAGGUAAAAUGGGAGUUGGAGCAGGCUAUGACUCAGCUAGGAUACAUCAGAAGCAAGAAGCUUCAAAAUCCACCCAAAAAAUAAGUAGUGUGGCUACUGGCAUCAUGGCAUAGAAGAAGUGAACUUCCUAUAUCACAACAGACUUAAAAACUUAUCAGUAGACAAUUUUUGUACUUGCAUAAUAAUAGCCUCAGCUCAGCUAUUAGUACCUUAAUUCUCUGCUUUAUU